rnacentral:lncRNA from 1 species
GACAUUUUUUAUUAAAAACAUUAAAGUUUACAUGACUAUUUUUUAAAAUUUUGUGAUGUUGGUGUCCUUUUCCCUUGGUAUUAUUGCCAAUAUUUAAACAUGAUAAUUUUGCUAAUGUCCUUCCGAAUGGGUUACGAAUAACUAAUUAGAGCUUUAACCCACCGAACUUCUGGGUUGUGCAGGCGAAAAAUGGGAGGUUGGGCACUAAUAAAUCUGAAAACUCAAAUCGCAAUUGAUUUUUCUAUGCCUGAAAAUAGAAAGACGAGCAGGUACAAGAUUGGUCACUGGUAGGGUUGGCAAUGGGACGGGAUGGGAUGGGAUUUAUCAAUCCCAGACCCAUCCCGUAUAUGCAAAUGGGAUGAAAAAACGUCUCAAUUCCGUCUCUAUAUUUUUUUUGGGACAAAAAUCUCGUCCCAAAAGAGAUGGGAUUCUGCGGAAUCCCAUCCCAAUUGAAAAAAUUUCCAUUCUUAAUCGGUAAUGAGAUGAGAUGAGACGAAAUUUGUCAAUCCCACUCCCGUCCCGCAUAUGUAAUUGGGAUAAAAAUAUAUAUGUAUUGAAUUGAGACGUUUUUUCCAUAUGUAUUGGCAAUAUGCAGCACAUGCCGUGUGGGUGCAAUCAGUCUCAUUUCUUUGUACUUAACAAAGCUGCCACCACUAAUGGGCCUUUGGUUCAAUGGGAGAAACCUUGCACUUACAAUGUUGAGUGCAAGGGUUCGAGCCUCCAUAAGAGUCUCCAUAAGAGCAUUAUGGAGGUUAGUUUCAGUUCUUCCUCAAUUAUCAAUUAAUUGAGUGGAGACAGUCUCUCCCUUACGAAAUGUGAGUGGAGCAGGCACCCCUCGAAUAUUAGAGAGGGUUUAAAAUAUCUGGGCAUAUAUUUCAGUGUGUCAAUGUAUGAUGGUGGUCCCAGUUAUAUAGUAUGAUUGUAAAUAUUAAUUGUAAUGUCUGAUGUAAUGUCAGUAAUAUCUGUGUAUAACAGACUUCAAAAAAUAAAAAAAACAAAGCUGCCACCUGCCAAUUCCCAAUUUGGUUUGCUCAAAUCGGUCCCUCGCUCCUUUCCAGCUUCAAUCACAUAUUCACAUCACCUUUCACGCCAGCAGCAGCAGGUCAAUCAUGCCACUCUCUUGAAUUAUUUUAUCACGAGCCAACUCCCCGCACCCAGAAUCUCAAUCUUUAGCAUUUUUUCUCUUGAAUUAUUUUAGCUUUUUUAUUAACCCACGUGGCAAAUGAAAGCCAAUUUGUGACUUUUUGUGCUCGGCUGGGUAACUGGGUUGUGGCCUGUGGGUCCUUUUAUUUAUUUAAUUAAUCAAAUCAAAUGUUUUUAAUUUAGAAUGUUUUUUAUUUAUUAAUUUCACAGGUGUGCCUGUGGCUAGAGAUAGCAAAAUGGAUCAUCAGAUUGUAUUCGUGUCAUAUCAAUUUU